UUCGAAAAUCAUCUAUGAGAU
rnacentral:piRNA from 1 species